rnacentral:rRNA from 1 species
UACGUAGGGUGCAAGCGUUGUCCGGAAUUAUUGGGCGUAAAGAGCUCGUAGGCGGUCUGUCGCGUCGGCUGUGAAAACCCGGGGCUCAACCCCGGGCCUGCAGUCGAUACGGGCAGACUAGAGUGCGGUAGGGGAGACUGGAAUUCCUGGUGUAGCGGUGAAAUGCGCAGAUAUCAGGAGGAACACCGGUGGCGAAGGCGGGUCUCUGGGCCGUAACUGACGCUGAGGAGCGAAAGCGUGGGGAGCGAACAGGA